UUGGGAGAGGCAGCCACUGGAAGAUCUCGACGAUAUUCCCAAUCAGUAGGUCUAUUGCAGCGAACAACUUGAACAUUCAAGAAAAGUCGGACAUUUCCUUGCCAACAGCUAUUUUUUGAAGUCACCUAGUCUAAACAAGUUUGAGUUCAGUCGAGCUCAACCCGCCAGAUCAUCGACACUUAGACUAACACUCCUUGAGAGGACCCUAACGCACACUCACUCAUGAAGACCUUGUGGCUCUGAAUCAACAGGCACUGCAGGACUGAAAAUCUGCUCAACACCAUAAGAAGAGAGGAGCCAGAUCAUCGACACUUAGACUAACACUCCUUGAGAGGACCCUAACGCACACUCACUCAUAAAGACCUCAUGGCUCUGAAUCAACAGGCACUGCAGGACUGAAAAUCUGCUCAACACCAUAAGAAAGGAGGAGCCAGAUCAUCGACACUUAGACUAACACUCCUUGAGAGGACCCUAACGCACACUCACUCAUAAAGACCUCAUGGCUCUGAAUCAACAGGCACUGCAGGACUGAAAAUCUGCUCAACACCACAUGAAGAGAGGAGAUCAUCCACACUUAGACUAACACUCCUUGAGAGGACCCUCACGCUCACUUACUCAUGAAGACAUCGUGGCUCUGAAUCAACAGGCACUGCAGGACUGAAAAUCUGCUCAACACCACAAGAAGAGAGGAGAUCAUCCACACUUAGGCUAACACUCCUUGAGAGGACCCUCACGCUCACUUACUCAUGAAGACAUCGUGGCUCUGAAUCAACAGGCACUGCAGGACUGAAAAUCUGCUCAACACCAUAAGAAGA